GGUUAAGCGACUAAGCGUACACGGUGGAUGCCCUGGCAGUCAGAGGCGAUGAAGGACGUGCUAAUCUGCGAAAAGCGUCGGUAAGGUGAUAUGAACCGUUAUAACCGGCGAUGUCCGAAUGGGGAAACCCAGUGUGAUUCGUCACACUAUCGUUAACUGAAUACAUAGGUUAACGAGGCGAACCGGGGGAACUGAAACAUCUAAGUACCCCGAGGAAAAGAAAUCAACCGAGAUUCCCCCAGUAGCGGCGAGCGAACGGGGAGCAGCCCAGAGUCUGAAUCAGCUUGUGUGUUAGUGGAACGGUCUGGAAAGUCCGACGGUACAGGGUGAUAGUCCCGUACACCAAAAUGCACAGGUUGUGAACUCGAAGAGUAGGGCGGGACACGUGGUAUCCUGUCUGAAUAUGGGGGGACCAUCCUCCAAGGCUAAAUACUCCUGACUGACCGAUAGUGAACCAGUACCGUGAGGGAAAGGCGAAAAGAACCCCGGCGAGGGGAGUGAAAAAGAACCUGAAACCGUGUACGUACAAGCAGUGGGAGCACCUUCGGGUGUGACUGCGUACCUUUUGUAUAAUGGGUCAGCGACUUAUAUUCUGUAGCAAGGUUAACCGUAUAGGGGAGCCGCAGGGAAACCGAGUCUUAACUGGGCGUUAAGUUGCAGGGUAUAGACCCGAAACCCGGUGAUCUAGCCAUGGGCAGGUUGAAGGUUGGGUAACACUAACUGGAGGACCGAACCGACUAAUGUUGAAAAAUUAGCGGAUGACUUGUGGCUGGGGGUGAAAGGCCAAUCAAACCGGGAGAUAGCUGGUUCUCCCCGAAAGCUAUUUAGGUAGCGCCUCGUGAAUUCAUCUUCGGGGGUAGAGCACUGUUUCGGCUAGGGGGUCAUCCCGACUUACCAACCCGAUGCAAACUACGAAUACCGAAGAAUGUUAUCACGGGAGACACACGGCGGGUGCUAACGUCCGUCGUGAAGAGGGAAACAACCCAGACCGCCAGCUAAGGUCCCAAAGUCAUGGUUAAGUGGGAAACGAUGUGGGAAGGCACAGACAGCCAGGAUGUUGGCUUAGAAGCAGCCAUCAUUUAAAGAAAGCGUAAUAGCUCACUGGUCGAGUCGGCCUGCGCGGAAGAUGUAACGGGGCUAAACCAUGCACCGAAGCUGCGGCAGCGACACUAUGUGUUGUUGGGUAGGGGAGCGUUCUGUAAGCCUGCGAAGGUGUGCUGUGAGGCAUGCUGGAGGUAUCAGAAGUGCGAAUGCUGACAUAAGUAACGAUAAAGCGGGUGAAAAGCCCGCUCGCCGGAAGACCAAGGGUUCCUGUCCAACGUUAAUCGGGGCAGGGUGAGUCGACCCCUAAGGCGAGGCCGAAAGGCGUAGUCGAUGGGAAACAGGUUAAUAUUCCUGUACUUGGUGUUACUGCGAAGGGGGGACGGAGAAGGCUAUGUUAGCCGGGCGACGGUUGUCCCGGUUUAAGCAUGUAGGCUGGUUGUCCAGGCAAAUCCGGAUAAUCAAGGCUGAGGUGUGAUGACGAGGCACUACGGUGCUGAAGUAACAAAUGCCCUGCUUCCAGGAAAAGCCUCUAAGCAUCAGGUAACAUUAAAUCGUACCCCAAACCGACACAGGUGGUCAGGUAGAGAAUACCAAGGCGCUUGAGAGAACUCGGGUGAAGGAACUAGGCAAAAUGGUGCCGUAACUUCGGGAGAAGGCACGCUGGUGUGUAGGUGAAGUCCCUGCGGAUGGAGCUGAGACCAGUCGAAGAUACCAGCUGGCUGCAACUGUUUAUUAAAAACACAGCACUGUGCAAACACGAAAGUGGACGUAUACGGUGUGACGCCUGCCCGGUGCCGGAAGGUUAAUUGAUGGGGUUAUCCGUAAGGAGAAGCUCUUGAUCGAAGCCCCGGUAAACGGCGGCCGUAACUAUAACGGUCCUAAGGUAGCGAAAUUCCUUGUCGGGUAAGUUCCGACCUGCACGAAUGGCGUAAUGAUGGCCAGGCUGUCUCCACCCGAGACUCAGUGAAAUUGAACUCGCUGUGAAGAUGCAGUGUACCCGCGGCAAGACGGAAAGACCCCGUGAACCUUUACUAUAGCUUGACACUGAACAUUGAGCCUUGAUGUGUAGGAUAGGUGGGAGGCUUUGAAGCGUGGACGCCAGUCUGCGUGGAGCCAACCUUGAAAUACCACCCUUUAAUGUUUGAUGUUCUAACGUUGGCCCCUUACCGGGGUUGCGGACAGUGUCUGGUGGGUAGUUUGACUGGGGCGGUCUCCUCCCAAAGCGUAACGGAGGAGCACGAAGGUUAGCUAAUCCUGGUCGGACAUCAGGAGGUUAGUGCAAUGGCAUAAGCUAGCUUGACUGCGAGCGUGACGGCGCGAGCAGGUGCGAAAGCAGGUCAUAGUGAUCCGGUGGUUCUGAAUGGAAGGGCCAUCGCUCAACGGAUAAAAGGUACUCCGGGGAUAACAGGCUGAUACCGCCCAAGAGUUCAUAUCGACGGCGGUGUUUGGCACCUCGAUGUCGGCUCAUCACAUCCUGGGGCUGAAGUAGGUCCCAAGGGUAUGGCUGUUCGCCAUUUAAAGUGGUACGCGAGCUGGGUUUAGAACGUCGUGAGACAGUUCGGUCCCUAUCUGCCGUGGGCGCUGGAGAAUUGAGGGGGGCUGCUCCUAGUACGAGAGGACCGGAGUGGACGCAUCACUGGUGUUCGGGUUGUCAUGCCAAUGGCACUGCCCGGUAGCUAAAUGCGGAAGAGAUAAGUGCUGAAAGCAUCUAAGCACGAAACUUGCCCCGAGAUGAGUUCUCCCUGAGACUUUAAGUCUCCUGAAGGAACGUUGAAGACGACGACGUUGAUAGGCCGGGUGUGUAAGCGCAGCGAUGCGUUGAGCUAACCGGUACUAAUGAACCGUGAGGCUUAACCUU
rnacentral:rRNA from 1 species